rnacentral:misc_RNA from 1 species
AACGCACGAGACCUGCGGACCUGCGGAAGGAUCAUUAAUGAGAAACUGCCCCUCGCGGGUAGAUCUCCCACCCUUUGUAAACUUACCUUUGUUGCUUUGGCAGGCCCGUCUCCGGACCGCCGGCUUCGGCUGGCCAGUGCCUGCCAGAGGAUUCUAAAACUCUGUCUGUCAGUGUUGUCUGAGUCUAUUUACAAUCGUUAAAACUUUCAACAACGGAUCUCUAGAUCGGAAGAGCACACG